AUUGAACGCUGGCGGCAUGGCUAAAGCAUGCAAGUCGAACGACUAGCAAUAGAAGUGGCGAAAGGGCGAGGAAUAGAUUCCCACGUACCCCGAGGUCAGGGAUACCUCAGAGAAAUCUGAGACAAUACCUGAUAAUAUCGGAAACGAUCAAAGGUUUACCACCUUGGGAGCGGGGAAUCUCCUAUCAGCUAGUUGGUGAGGUAAUGGCUCACCAAGGCGAAGACGGGUAGCGGGUGUGAGAGCACGGCCCGCCGCAUCGAGACUGAGACACUGCUCGGACUCCUACGGGAGGCUGCAGUAACGAAUCUUCCGCAAUGCACGAAAGUGUGACGGGGCAAUGCCGCGUGUGGGAUGAAGCCCUUCGGGGUGUAAACUACUGUCAGGGACUACCAACAACAUGAGGAGUCCCAAAGGAAGAGCCGGCUAACUCUGUGCCAGCAGCCGCGGUAAUACAGAGGGCUCGAGCGUUAAUCGGAAUCACUGGGCUUAAAGCGUGCGUAGGCGGAUUUGAAGGCGCUUUGUGAAAUCCCUCGGCUCAACCGAGGAACUGCUUGGCGAACCACAAAUCUUGAGGCUGGUAGAGGUGGUCGGAACAAUAGGUGGAGCGGUGAAAUGCGUAGAUAUCUAUUGGAACACCGAAGGUGAAGACAGGCCACUGGGCCAGUCCUGACGCUGAGGCACGAAAGCGUGGGUAGCAAACGGGAUUAGAUACCCCGGUAGUCCACGCCGUAAACGAUGCGCACUUGGUCGAGGGGGGUUGAACGCCUUCUCGGCCGUAGGAAAACUGAUUAGUGCGCCGCCUGGGGAGUACGGUCGCAAGAUUAAAACUCAAAGGAAUUGACGGGGGCUCACACAAGCGGUGGAGCAUGUGGCUUAAUUCGAAGCAACGCGAAGAACCUUAUCCUAGGCUUGACAUGCACGGAUUAACCUCCUGAAAGGGAGGCAACACUCGCAAGAGUGGAACGUGCACAGGUGCUGCAUGGCUGUCGUCAGCUCGUGCUGUGAAGUGUCGGGUUAAGUCCCUCAACGAGCGCAACCCCUGUCACUAGUUGCAAACAGGUAAUGCUGUGGACUCUAGUGAGACUGCCGGUGUCAAACCGGAGGAAGGUGGGGAUGACGUCAAGUCCUCAUGGCCCUUAUGCCUAGGGCUGCACACGUGCUACAAUGGCACCGACAGAACGAUCCGAGACCGCAAGGUGGAGGAAAUCGCUCAAAAGGUGCCCCAGUUCGGAUUGGAGGCUGCAACUCGCCUCCAUGAAGUUGGAAUCGCUAGUAAUCGCGGAUCAGCUACGCCGCGGUGAAUAUGUUCCUGAGCCUUGUACACACCGCCCGUCAAGUCAUGGAAGCCGGUAGCGCCCGAAGUCGCCUCAUUUCAGGGGUGCCCACGGCGAGGCUGGUGACUGGG
rnacentral:rRNA from 1 species